rnacentral:lncRNA from 1 species
UUACCUCACCAAUAAUUGACAUAUCUUCAUUUGCUUAGCUUUGACGCAAGGACUUUUGUGCUCUAGGAAUGUAAGAAGUCCAUUUUGCUAAGCUCACCGGAAGGUGGAGUUAAUUGGAGGCGUGGUCAACCACCUUAAAAGUCAUCGAAGUCAGCUCGAAGACGCUUAGAAACUUGCCAAGAAAAUGAGGUGGUUUUGGACAUUAUGUGGCUUGGUGUAAUCGUUUAAGUGAUCGAUGGUCCAAAACUUCAAAGGUUUUGGACAUUAUGUGGCUUGGCCUUCUCCUCCUAGUUGAAUUCAAUUUGUUUAAGUUUUUAAGUUGAAUUGGUUUCUAACAUGCAUACGGACACCUUCUCCAUCUAGUUAGAUUCGAACUUCUCAUUUCUUCUCAACACAACACAAGCAUGUCAUACUAAUUCCUCUAAAACCAAAUUUUAACAAUUAACACAGUGAGCCGAUAAAUGGUUUGAAUCUAUUUUCCAAAAAACAAAAAGGUUAGAGUUUUCUGACUCCUUGCUUCUAGCAAAAGAGAAGUACCAUGAGAAAAUUCAGUUCUUUGCGCUAGAGGUUAAACGGAAGAUAAUAUAACCAUCUUUGAGAGAAUCUAAAUCUUAAUCUUAAUUAAGAAAUCAUGGCAUUAUUAUAAUGAGAAAGAGAAAAAGAAAAAAAACUUAUUAAGUAUAUAAUUCUAUAUAUUUGACUUGCAUUUCAUGAGGCUACAAUUUUUGUCCCAUCAUUCGUAACGUAAUUUUAUAUAUGCUUGUCUAGGGAUUUUAUCAACCCAUUUAUUUAUAGUAAUACCCAAUUAUCCACUUGCUAGGCAGCAAGAUUGGUGCAACUCCUGAAUUUGUUGCCAAAUAUGGUGAUAGAUCGACUGAUUGUGAAGUUGCCAAGCACUUUCUAUGCAUUUUAGAGGAGUUUUGAAGCACUUUCAUUAUGAUAUAGAUGCUUCUUAAAAUUAACUACCUAGUUGUGGACUUCCUUGGGAAUGAAGGAAUGAAGGAAGAAAGUAGUUGGACCCUAUCAAUAUCAUUAGUCUAAAAGUACCCUAACAUUGUUUUGGAUAACCUAGCCAUUUACGUAUGGGCCUAACCUAGCCAAUUACUAUGUCUUGAAUUUAAUCAUACAGUCUAAAUUUAUAUUUCUGGCCAGCUCGGGUCAAGCCCUAAUCUAAACUCAAGCUCAAGAAUACAACAAUCUACUACACACAUGUACGGCUGGACCCAACGAGCAUGUAAGGUAACAACCUAUCGAAUAAAAACAUAAUAAUCGAUACUUCAAAAUCAACCUAAAACAAACUAAUUGGGAGUUAAAUAGUGGCUUUCUAUCGAUCCACCCUUUUAUACAUAAUUAAUUCUAGAUACUUAUAACUCCCAAAAAUUAUUAAUUUAGGUUUAACAAGUAACUCAUCCCACUUCUAAUAUCCCAUAUUUUAGAAACUAAUUUUAUAUCUAAGUAGUGCAAUAAUUAAUCGAAAUCAGGGCUUUAUAAUCUGCCCUGCUUUAUAGAGCUAUAAUAAUAUAGCGAUUUACCAUACUACCCUUAUAAAAUUAUACUUAAAACUUUUUGGAUCCAAGAAAAAGUAUAAUUAGUACAAUCUCAUUAAAC